rnacentral:rRNA from 1 species
CACACUAUCAUUAACUGAAUCCAUAGGUUAAUGAGGCGAACCGGGGGAACUGAAACAUCUAAGUACCCCGAGGAAAAGAAAUCAACCGAGAUUCCCCCAGUAGCGGCGAGCGAACGGGGAGGAGCCCAGAGCCUGAAUCAGUGUGUGUGUUAGUGGAAGCGUCUGGAAAGGCGCGCGAUACAGGGUGACAGCCCCGUACACAAAAAUGCACAUAUUGUGAGCUCGAUGAGUAGGGCGGGACACGUGGUAUCCUGUCUGAAUAUGGGGGGACCAUCCUCCAAGGCUAAAUACUCCUGACUGACCGAUAGUGAACCAGUACCGUGAGGGAAAGGCGAAAAGAACCCCGGCGAGGGGAGUGAAAAAGAACCUGAAACCGUGUACGUACAAGCAGUGGGAGCCUCUUUUAUGGGGUGACUGCGUACCUUUUGUAUAAUGGGUCAGCGACUUAUAUUCUGUAGCAAGGUUAACCGAAUAGGGGAGCCGAAGGGAAACCGAGUCUUAACUGGGCGUUAAGUUGCAGGGUAUAGACCCGAAACCCGGUGAUCUAGCCAUGGGCAGGUUGAAGGUUGGGUAACACUAACUGGAGGACCGAACCGACUAAUGUUGAAAAAUUAGCGGAUGACUUGUGGCUGGGGGUGAAAGGCCAAUCAAACCGGGAGAUAGCUGGUUCUCCCCGAAAGCUAUUUAGGUAGCGCCUCGUGAAUUCAUCUCCGGGGGUAGAGCACUGUUUCGGCAAGGGGGUCAUCCCGACUUACCAACCCGAUGCAAACUGCGAAUACCGGAGAAUGUUAUCACGGGAGACACACGGCGGGUGCUAACGUCCGUCGUGAAGAGGGAAACAACCCAGACCGCCAGCUAAGGUCCCAAAGUCAUGGUUAAGUGGGAAACGAUGUGGGAAGGCCCAGACAGCCAGGAUGUUGGCUUAGAAGCAGCCAUCAUUUAAAGAAAGCGUAAUAGCUCACUGGUCGAGUCGGCCUGCGCGGAAGAUGUAACGGGGCUAAACCAUGCACCGAAGCUGCGGCAGCGACGCUUAUGCGUUGUUGGGUAGGGGAGCGUUCUGUAAGCCUGUGAAGGUGUGCUGUGAGGCAUGCUGGAGGUAUCAGAAGUGCGAAUGCUGACAUAAGUAACGAUAAAGCGGGUGAAAAGCCCGCUCGCCGGAAGACCAAGGGUUCCUGUCCAACGUUAAUCGGGGCAGGGUGAGUCGACCCCUAAGGCGAGGCCGAAAGGCGUAGUCGAUGGGAAACAGGUUAAUAUUCCUGUACUUGGUGUUACUGCGAAGGGGGGACGGAGAAGGCUAUGUUGGCCGGGCGACGGUUGUCCCGGUUUAAGCGUGUAGGCUGGUUUUCCAGGCAAAUCCGGAAAAUCAAGGCUGAGGCGUGAUGACGAGGCACUACGGUGCUGAAGCAACAAAUGCCCUGCUUCCAGGAAAAGCCUCUAAGCAUCAGGUAACAUCAAAUCGUACCCCAAACCGACACAGGUGGUCAGGUAGAGAAUACCAAGGCGCUUGAGAGAACUCGGGUGAAGGAACUAGGCAAAAUGGUGCCGUAACUUCGGGAGAAGGCACGCUGAUAUGUAGGUGAAGUCCCUCGCGGAUGGAGCUGAAAUCAGUCGAAGAUACCAGCUGGCUGCAACUGUUUAUUAAAAACACAGCACUGUGCAAACACGAAAGUGGACGUAUACGGUGUGACGCCUGCCCGGUGCCGGAAGGUUAAUUGAUGGGGUUAGCGGUAACGCGAAGCUCUUGAUCGAAGCCCCGGUAAACGGCGGCCGUAACUAUAACGGUCCUAAGGUAGCGAAAUUCCUUGUCGGGUAAGUUCCGACCUGCACGAAUGGCGUAAUGAUGGCCAGGCUGUCUCCACCCGAGACUCAGUGAAAUUGAACUCGCUGUGAAGAUGCAGUGUACCCGCGGCAAGACGGAAAGACCCCGUGAACCUUUACUAUAGCUUGACACUGAACAUUGAGCCUUGAUGUGUAGGAUAGGUGGGAGGCUUUGAAGUGUGGACGCCAGUCUGCAUGGAGCCGGCCUUGAAAUACCACCCUUUAAUGUUUGAUGUUCUAACGUUGGCCCCUGAUCGGGGUUGCGGACAGUGUCUGGUGGGUAGUUUGACUGGGGCGGUCUCCUCCUAAAGAGUAACGGAGGAGCACGAAGGUUGGCUAAUCCUGGUCGGACAUCAGGAGGUUAGUGCAAUGGCAUAAGCCAGCUUGACUGCGAGCGUGACGGCGCGAGCAGGUGCGAAAGCAGGUCAUAGUGAUCCGGUGGUUCUGAAUGGAAGGGCCAUCGCUCAACGGAUAAAAGGUACUCCGGGGAUAACAGGCUGAUACCGCCCAAGAGUUCAUAUCGACGGCGGUGUUUGGCACCUCGAUGUCGGCUCAUCACAUCCUGGGGCUGAAGUAGGUCCCAAGGGUAUGGCUGUUCGCCAUUUAAAGUGGUACGCGAGCUGGGUUUAGAACGUCGUGAGACAGUUCGGUCCCUAUCUGCCGUGGGCGCUGGAGAACUGAGGGGGGCUGCUCCUAGUACGAGAGGACCGGAGUGGACGCAUCACUGGUGUUCGGGUUGUCAUGCCAAUGGCACUGCCCGGUAGCUAAAUGCGGAAGAGAUAAGUGCUGAAAGCAUCUAAGCACGAAACUUGCCCCGAGAUGAGUUCUCCCUGACUCCUUGAGAGUCCUGAAGGAACGUUGAAGACGACGACGUUGAUAGGCCGGGUGUGUAAGCGCAGCGAUGCGUUGAGCUAACCGGUACUAAUGAACCGUGAGGCUUAACCUUACAACGCCGAAG